rnacentral:rRNA from 1 species
UGGGGAAUAUUGGACAAUGGGGGCAACCCUGAUCCAGCGACGCCGCGUGUGUGAAGAAGGCCUGCGGGUUGUAAAGCACUUUUAGUGGGGAUGAAAAGCCGAAGGCUAAUACCUUUCGGUCUUGACCUAACCCACAGAAAAAGCACCGGCUAACUCUGUGCCAGCAGCCGCGGUAAUACAGAGGGUGCGAGCGUUAAUCGGAAUUACUGGGCGUAAAGCGUGCGUAGACGGUUAUGUAAGUCAGAUGUGAAAGCCCCGGGCUUAACCUGGGAAUGGCAUUUGAGACUGCAUAGCUAGGGUGCGGAAGAGGGAAGCGGAAUUUCCGGUGUAGCGGUGAAAUGCGUAGAUAUCGGAAGGAACACCAGUGGCGAAAGCGGCUUCCUGGUCCAGCACCGACGUUCAGGCACGAAAGCGUGGGGAGCAAACA